CUCAGAACGAACGCUGGCGGCAGGCUUAACACAUGCAAGUCGAACGCCCCUUCACGGGGGAGUGGCAGACGGGUGAGUAACACGUGGGAACAUACCCUUCGGUUCGGAACAACGUCUGGAAACGGACGCUAAUACCGGAUACGGCCUUUUGGGCGAAAGAUUGAUCGCCGAAGGAUUGGCCCGCGUUCGAUUAGCUUGAUGGCGGGGUAACGGCCCACCAUGGCGACGAUCGAUAGCUGGUCUGAGAGGAUGGCCAGCCACAUUGGGACUGAGACACGGCCCAAACUCCUACGGGAGGCAGCAGUGGGGAAUAUUGGACAAUGGGCGCAAGCCUGAUCCAGCCAUGCCGCGUGAGUGAUGACGGCCUUAGGGUUGUAAAGCUCUUUCGCACGCGACGAUAAUGACGGUAGCGUGAGAAGAAGCCCCGGCUAACUUCGUGCCAGCAGCCGCGGUAAUACGAAGGGGGCUAGCGUUGUUCGGAAUCACUGGGCGUAAAGGGUGCGUAGGCGGGCAUUUAAGUCAGGGGUGAAAUCCCGAGGCUCAACCUCGGAACUGCCCUUGAUACUGGAUGUCUUGAGUCCGGAAGAGGUGAGUGGAACUGCGAGUGUAGAGGUGAAAUUCGUAGAUAUU
rnacentral:rRNA from 1 species